rnacentral:rRNA from 1 species
AUUGAACGCUGGUGGCAGGCCUAACACAUGCAAGUCGAGCGGGGUUUUCGGACCUAGCGGCGGACGGGUGAGUAAUGCGUAGGAAGCUACCCGAUAGAGGGGGAUACCAGUUGGAAACGACUGUUAAUACCGCAUAAUGUCUACGGACCAAAGUGUGGGACCUUCGGGCCACAUGCUAUCGGAUGCGCCUACGUGGGAUUAGCUAGUUGGUGAGGUAAUGGCUCACCAAGGCGACGACCCCUAGCUGGUUUGAGAGGAUGAUCAGCCACACUGGAACUGAGACACGGUCCAGACUCCUACGGGUGGCAGCAGUGGGGAAUAUUGGACAAUGGGCGCAAGCCUGAUCCAGCCAUGCCGCGUGUGUGAAGAAGGCCUUCGGGUUGUAAAGCACUUUCAGCGAGGAGGAAGGGUGGUGUGUUAAUAGCACAUCAUUUUGACGUUACUCGCAGAAGAAGCACCGGCCAACUCUGUGCCAGCAGCCGCCGUAAGAC